UACGUAGGGCGCAAGCGUUGUCCGGAAUUAUUGGGCGUAAAGAGCUCGUAGGCGGCCUGUUACGUCUGCUGUGAAAUCCCGGGGCUUAACCCCGGGCGUGCAGUGGAUACGACCACCCUGGAGGGACGUAGGGGGACCUGGAACUUCCGGUGGAGCGGUGAAAUGCGUUGAGAUCGGAAGGAACGCCCGUGGCGAAAGCGAGGUCCUGGACGUUUACUGACGCUGAGACGCGAAAGCCAGGGGAGCGAACGGG
rnacentral:rRNA from 1 species